AGAGUUUGAUCAUGGCUCAGAUUGAACGCUGGCGGCAGGCCUAACACAUGCAAGUCGAACGGUAACAGGAAACAGCUUGCUGUUUCGCUGACGAGUGGCGGACGGGUGAGUAAUGUCUGGGAAACUGCCUGAUGGAGGGGGAUAACUACUGGAAACGGUAGCUAAUACCGCAUAACGUCGCAAGACCAAAGAGGGGGACCUUCGGGCCUCUUGCCAUCAGAUGUGCCCAGAUGGGAUUAGCUAGUAGGUGGGGUAACGGCUCACCUAGGCGACGAUCCCUAGCUGGUCUGAGAGGAUGACCAGCCACACUGGAACUGAGACACGGUCCAGACUCCUACGGGAGGCAGCAGUGGGGAAUAUUGCACAAUGGGCGCAAGCCUGAUGCAGCCAUGCCGCGUGUAUGAAGAAGGCCUUCGGGUUGUAAAGUACUUUCAGCGGGGAGGAAGGGAGUAAAGUUAAUACCUUUGCUCAUUGACGUUACCCGCAGAAGAAGCACCGGCUAACUCCGUGCCAGCAGCCGCGGUAAUACGGAGGGUGCAAGCGUUAAUCGGAAUUACUGGGCGUAAAGCGCACGCAGGCGGUUUGUUAAGUCAGAUGUGAAAUCCCCGGGCUCAACCUGGGAACUGCAUCUGAUACUGGCAAGCUUGAGUCUCGUAGAGGGGGGUAGAAUUCCAGGUGUAGCGGUGAAAUGCGUAGAGAUCUGGAGGAAUACCAGUGGCGAAGGCGGCCCCCUGGACGAAGACUGACGCUCAGGUGCGAAAGCGUGGGGAGCAAACAGGAUUAGAUACCCUGGUAGUCCACGCCGUAAACGAUGUCGACUUGGAGGUUGUGCCCUUGAGGCGUGGCUUCCGGAGCUAACGCGUUAAGUCGACCGCCUGGGGAGUACGGCCGCAAGGUUAAAACUCAAAUGAAUUGACGGGGGCCCGCACAAGCGGUGGAGCAUGUGGUUUAAUUCGAUGCAACGCGAAGAACCUUACCUGGUCUUGACAUCCACGGAAGUUUUCAGAGAUGAGAAUGUGCCUUCGGGAACCGUGAGACAGGUGCUGCAUGGCUGUCGUCAGCUCGUGUUGUGAAAUGUUGGGUUAAGUCCCGCAACGAGCGCAACCCUUAUCCUUUGUUGCCAGCGGUCCGGCCGGGAACUCAAAGGAGACUGCCAGUGAUAAACUGGAGGAAGGUGGGGAUGACGUCAAGUCAUCAUGGCCCUUACGACCAGGGCUACACACGUGCUACAAUGGCGCAUACAAGAGAAGCGACCUCGCGAGAGCAAGCGGACCUCAUAAAGUGCGUCGUAGUCCGGAUUGGAGUCUGCAACUCGACUCCAUGAAGUCGGAAUCGCUAGUAAUCGUGGAUCAGAAUGCCACGGUGAAUACGUUCCCGGGCCUUGUACACACCGCCCGGCACACCAUGGGAGUGGGUUGCAAAAGAAGUAGGUAGCUUAACCUUCGGGAGGGCGCUUACCACUUUGUGAUUCAUGACUGGGGUGAAGUCGUAACAAGGUAACCGUAGGGGAACCUGCGGUUG
rnacentral:rRNA from 1 species